rnacentral:rRNA from 1 species
GGCCUGGCUGGGCGGUCUUGCCGCAAGGUAAGCACUGCUCUGGUUGGGUCUUUCCUUCUGGGGAGCCAGCGUGCUCUUAAUUGAGUGCGUUGGGGAUCCAGGACUUUUACUUUGAAAAAAUUAGAGUGUUUAAAGCAGGCUUUCAAGCUUGAACAUAUUAGCAUGGAAUAAUGAAAUAGG